UAAAUUUCUACUCUUUCAAUCAGUGGGACAAAUUCACAUGCCAGUCGAGGCUGAUUCACCUGUUCAGUGCUGUGAGUGAUUUGAAGAGGACCACCUUCUCAGCACUUCUUUGGCCCAGAGUCACAGGAACACUCUUCUCAAGAAUGUGGUUCUGGGACCUCUGAGAGGGUCUGGAAUUAGGGUUCAGAUACCAUCCAUCUGUUAUGUGCUUUGAAGAUGCCACUCCAUCUGUGGGAUUCAAUUUACAUAAACUGAAGACUAUUCUUCUGAGUUGAAGUAAGGAGAGGCAUCUAUCCUCUCCUCCUGCAAAAUUAUUUGAUCUCCUGGAAGCAAAAAGCCCACUAUGAAGUUGUUCUUGCCAUGGGCUUCUGGAGGAGCUGACUGUCCUUUGGGAAGCUACAAAUACAGCCUUAAAAUCUGUUAGCAGGGAAGAGAGAGAGGCUUUUUCUGAGUGAUCAGAUUCCCUGGGUUGCCCUUAAUCUGGCACAUACUCCAGAACAGAAUGCACUGUUUUCCUCAGUGAUGGUGGCUAGCACACCCCGAAGGCCACCAGCACAGCCUAUGUGUCCAGUCUCCAGAGCCAGGACAGAG
rnacentral:lncRNA from 1 species